GUAGGGUGCGAGCGUUAAUCGGAAUUACUGGGCGUAAAGUGUGCGCAGGUGGCCGCGCAUGUCGAGUGUGAAAUCCCCGGGCUUAACUUGGGAAUUGCGCUCGAAACUACGUGGCUCGAGUGUGGCAGAGGAAGGUGGAAUUCCACGUGUAGCGGUGAAAUGCGUAGAGAUGUGGAGGAACACCGAUGGCGAAGGCAGCCUUCUGGGCCAACACUGACGCUCAUGCACGAAAGCGUGGGGAGCAAACAGGAUUAGAUACCCUGGUAGUCCACGCCCUAAACGAUGAUGACUAGUUGUUGGAGGAGUUAAAUCCUUUAGUAACGCAGCUAACGCGUGAAGUCAUCCGCCUGGGGAGUACGGUCGCAAGAUUAAA
rnacentral:rRNA from 1 species